CAUUCUAAGUACCUGUGGCGAUCACUCCCAAGGACACAGAGCCCUCUCGCCGCCUGCUGUCUGCCGCUGGCGCACACCUGUGCCUCCAGGGGUCCCUCUGCCUGCUGCUUCCUGGGCUCCCGGCAUCGACAGACACGGGCACUCAUGCUCAUGGAGAUUCUGCAUGGCCCAUUCCGAGGGGCUGCACCGUGCACCUCCCUGCAGGGACGGAGGCCACUGGGUGUCAGGGAGGUCUCCAUGCUCUGCUGUCCGGAGUCUGGAGAAGGAAAUAUGGAAGGAAUGUGCCAUGAGCAGAAGGAAUGAAAGUGGAACGGUCGUGAAGCAUGAAGCUCCAAGGAGAGGUCGAGGCCAGCUGUGAGCCAGGCAGACCGACGUGAUGGGGUGCCGCAGGGAGGAACACACAGUUCUCAAAGCGUGGACCGGAGGCCCUGGGGGUUCCCUGAGGCUCUUGCUGGCGUCUGGGAGAUGCAGCCUUGCAGACUUCUGGAAUGGAAAAGAAAUGGUGUUUAUUGUUCUCUGUGUUCCGGCACAGUACACGCCCUUGCUCACUGGACCCCAUGAGAUUGCGGGGUGGGCACUAUUACCCGCCCACUUCCUAGACAGGAAAACUGAGGCCUG